rnacentral:rRNA from 1 species
AUUGAACGCUGGCGGCAGGCCUAACACAUGCAAGUCGAACGGUAACAGGAAGAAGCUUGCUUCUUUGCUGACGAGUGGCGGACGGGUGAGUAAUGUCUGGGAAACUGCCUGAUGGAGGGGGAUAACUACUGGAAACGGUAGCUAAUACCGCAUAACGUCGCAAGACCAAAGAGGGGGACCUUCGGGCCUCUUGCCAUCGGAUGUGCCCAGAUGGGAUGAGCUAGUCGGUGGGGUAACGGCUCACCUAGGCGACGAUCCCUAGCUGGUCUGAGAGGAUGACCAGCCACACUGGAACUGAGACACGGCCCAGACUCUUACGGGAGGAAGCAGUGGGGAAUAUUGCACAAUGGGCGCAAGCCUGAUGCAGCCAUGCCGCGUGUAUGAAGAAGGCCUUCGGGUUGUAAAGUACUGUCAGCGGGGAGGAAGGGAGUAAAGUUAAUACCUUUGCUCAUUGACGUUACCCGCAGAAGAAGCACCGGCUAACUCCGUG